rnacentral:rRNA from 1 species
GAAACCUGCCCUGGAGACCGGGAUAGCCCGGGGAAACCCGGAUUAAUACCGGAUACCCUCAUUGGAUCGCAUGUUCUGAUGAGGAAAUGGUCAGCCGCUCCAGGAUGGUCUCGCGGCCUAUCAGCUUGUUGGUGAGGUAAAGGCUCACCAAGGCUCCGACGGGUAGCUGGUCUGAGAGGACGAUCAGCCACACUGGGACCGAGACACGGCCCAGACUCCUACGGGAGGCAGCAGCAGGGAAUAUUGCACAAUGGGCGAAAGCCUGAUGCAGCGACGCCGCGUGCGGGAUGAAGGCCUUCGGGUUGUAAACCGCUUUCAGGAGGGACGAAAAUGACGGUACCUCCAGAAGAAGGCCCGGCCAACUACGUGCCAGCAGCCGCGGUAAUACGUAGGGGCCAAGCGUUGUCCGGAUUUAUUGGGCGUAAAGGGCUCGUAGGCGGUUUGACAAGUCGGUCGUGAAAACCCGGGGCUCAACCCCGGGACGCCGGUCGAAACUGUCAUGACUAGGGUCCGGUAAAGGUGAGUGGAAUUCUCGGUGUAGCGGUGAAAUGCGCAGAUAUCGAGAGGAACACCAGUAGCGAAGGCG